rnacentral:rRNA from 1 species
GUGUCAGCCGCCGCGGUAAUACGGAGGGUGCAAGCGUUAUCCGGAUUUACUGGGUUUAAAGGGUGCGUAGGUGGGCAGGUAAGUCAGUGGUGAAAUCUUCAAGCUUAACUUGGAAACUGCCAUUGAUACUAUUUGUCUUGAAUUAUCUGGAGGUAAGCGGAAUAUGUCAUGUAGCGGUGAAAUGCUUAGAUAUGACAUAGAACACCCAUUGCGAAGGCAGCUUACUACGGAUAUAUUGACACUGAGGCACGAAAGCGUGGGGAUCAAACAGGAUUAGAUACCCUAGUAGUCC